GCCAGCAUGGUGUAGUGGUUUGAGUGUUGCACUACAACUGUAGAGACCUGGGUUGGAUUCCCUGUUUGAGCA
rnacentral:tRNA from 1 species